CAUAGGCUUAUGCAAGGUCAUUUAAUCAGUAUCUCUACCUGUAUGGCAAUAUAGCUUAAUUUUUUUAAAAUAUGACUAUAGGCCCAUAUCCUGUGCCCUGGGUAUCUAUCCCAUAAAUUAAACAAAGGAUUAUCCAAAAAUACCCUACCUCAGUACCCUCCCUCCUCAACAGCCUUAGAGAAGAAAGAAUAAAGAUGAGGUUUGCAUCAUUUGCAGAAGAUUAACAAAUAUGGGCUCUGGCAGACCAAAAUGGGGAGUGAGUUUCAAAACCAUGGACUGCUCUCAGAGAACGACCUACCAGAAAUUCUCUCUUAUUGAUAUUGAGAUAGCUCCAGCUCAAGUUCCAAUGCAGAUCUCAACUGUGGCCAUAUGUCACACAGAGGCAGAUGAUCUUUCAGGGAAGCUGCUGUUGGGUACUCCAUCACUCUGACAUUUUUUCAGCCAGGAUAAUGAUGGAGCAAACAAGCAGAGCAGCUGACUCAGGAGCAAGUUGCAGGAUUGCAGCGUGGCUAAGCAACCACUUUAACAGCCUUCCAUAUUGGUUAGUGUGAUGGCUCCACCUUGCAAAUGCAUGUAUUGCAGGACAGCAGGAUUCAGCGGUUGCCCCAUCCAGUUAGCAGAUGCUGGAACCCUGCAGAGUGCUGCAGAUUAAUUCCUGCUCACUCACAAAGACAGAAGUGGCUCAUUAGACUUCACUUCUGAAAGAGGGGGCUUGGGUCUGGAACUGACAGGUCCUGAGAGAACGAACCCCAGAAGCAGUCAAGCUCCUAGUAGGAAGGCUUAGGCUGGGAAAAGAGCCAUAGGAGCAGCCUAGUUUGAGCAGGUAUCUUGGGCUGAUAUUCUGUAAUGACU